rnacentral:rRNA from 1 species
GCUCAGGAUGAACGCUGGCGGCGUGCCUAAUACAUGCAAGUCGAGCGAACAGAUAAGGAGCUUGCUCCUUUGACGUUAGCGGCGGACGGGUGAGUAACACGUGGGUAACCUACCUAUAAGACUGGAAUAACUCCGGGAAACCGGGGCUAAUGCCGGAUAACAUGUUGAACCGCAUGGUUCUACAGUGAAAGACGGUCUUGCUGUCACUUAUAGAUGGACCCGCGCCGUAUUAGCUAGUUGGUGGGGUAACGGCCUACCAAGGCGACGAUACGUAGCCGACCUGAGAGGGUGAUCGGCCACACUGGAACUGAGACACGGUCCAGACUCCUACGGGAGGCAGCAGUAGGGAAUCUUCCGCAAUGGGCGAAAGCCUGACGGAGCAACGCCGCGUGAGUGAUGAAGGUCUUCGGAUCGUAAAGCUCUGUUGUUA